rnacentral:rRNA from 1 species
UCCUACGGGAGGCAGCAGUGGGGAAUAUUGCACAAUGGGGGAAACCCUGAUGCAGCGACGCCGCGUGAGUGAAGAAGUAAUUCGUUACGUAAAGCUCUAUCAGCAGGGAAGAGAAUGACGGUACCUGAGUAAGAAGCCCCGGCUAACUACGUGCCAGCAGCCGCGGUAAUACGUAGGGGGCAAGCGUUAUCCGGAUUUACUGGGUGUAAAGGGAGCGUAGACGGCUGUGCAAGUCUGGAGUGAAAGGCGGGGGCCCAACCCCCGGACUGCUCUGGAAACUGUAUGGCUGGAGUGCAGGAGAGGUA